rnacentral:rRNA from 1 species
AGAUUGAACGCUGGCGGCGGGCCUAACACAUGCAAGUCGAGCGGUAGAGAGGUGCUUGCAUCUCUUGAGAGCGGCGGACGGGUGAGUAAUGCCUAGGAAUCUGCCUAGUGGUGGGGGAUAACGUUCGGAAACGGACGCUAAUACCGCAUACGUCCUACGGGAGAAAGCGGGGGACCUUCGGGCCUCGCGCCAUUAGAUGAGCCUAGGUCGGAUUAGCUAGUUGGUGAGGUAAUGGCUCACCAAGGCGACGAUCCGUAACUGGUCUGAGAGGAUGAUCAGUCACACUGGAACUGAGACACGGUCCAGACUCCUACGGGAGCAGCAGUGGGGAAUAUUGGACAAUGGGCGAAAGCCUGAUCCAGCCAUGCCGCGUGUGUGAAGAAGGUCUUCGGAUUGUAAAGCAACUUUAAGUGGAGGAAGGUUGUAACCGUAAUACGUUAGCUAACUUUGAACGUUACCGACUAGAAUAAGCACCGGCUAACCUCGCGCCAGCAGCCGACGGUAAC